CCUACGGGAGGCUGCAGUGGGGAAUAUUGCGCAAUGGGGGAAACCCUGACGCAGCAACGCCGCGUGAGUGAAGACGUAUCUCGGUAUGUAAAGCUCUAUCAGCGGGGAAGAAGGAAGACGGUACCCGACUAAGAAGCCCCGGCUAACUACGUGCCAGCAGCCGCGGUAAUACGUAGGGGGCGAGCGUUAUCCGGAUUUACUGGGUGUAAAGGGAGCGUAGACGGCGUCGCAAGUCUGAAGUGAAAGCCCGUGGCUCAACCGCGGAACCGCUUUUGAAACUGCGUGGCUGGAGUGCUGGAGAGGUAAGCGGAAUUCCUGGUGUAGCGGUGAAAUGCGUAGAUAUCAGGAGGAACACCGGUGGCGAAGGCGGCUUACUGGACAGUGACUGACGCUGAGGCACGAAGGCCAGGGGAGCGAAAGGGAUUAGAUACCCGGGUAGUC
rnacentral:rRNA from 1 species